rnacentral:rRNA from 1 species
GUGGGGAAUAUUGGACAAUGGGGGCAACCCUGAUCCAGCAAUGCCGCGUGAGUGAUGAAGGCCUUCGGGUUGUAAAGCUCUUUCAGUGGGGACGAUAAUGACGGUACCCACCGAAGAAGCCCCGGCUAACUUCGUGCCAGCAGCCGCGGUAAUACGAAGGGGGCUAGCGUUGUUCGGAAUUACUGGGCGUAAAGCGCACGUAGGCGGAUUGUUAAGUUAGGGGUGAAAUCCCAGGGCUCAACCCUGGAACUGCCUUUAAUACUGGCAAUCUCGAGUCCGAGAGAGGUGAGUGGAAUUCCGAGUGUAGAGGUGAAAUUCGUAGAUAUUCGGAGGAACACCAGUGGCGAAGGCGGCUCACUGGCUCGGUACUGACGCUGAGGUGCGAAAGCGUGGGGAGCAAAC